rnacentral:rRNA from 1 species
UACGUAGGGUGCGAGCGUUAAUCGGAAUUACUGGGCGUAAAGCGUGCGCAGGCGGUUCGUUGUGUCGGCGGUGAAAGCCCCGGGCUUAACCUGGGAAUGGCCGUUGAAACUGGCGAACUGGAGUGUGGCAGAGGGGGGUGGAAUUCCGCGUGUAGCAGUGAAAUGCGUAGAGAUGCGGAGGAACACCGAUGGCGAAGGCAGCCCCGUGGGCUAACACUGACGCUCAGGCACGAAAGCGUGGGGAGCAAACAGG